GCCCGACACACAAAACAAGCGGUGAGUGCUUUGGGGUGGGGUGACUGCGUACCUUUUGUAUAAUGGGUCAGCGACUUAUAUUCUGUAGCAAGGUUAACCGUAUAGGGGAGCCGGAGGGAAACCGAGUCUUAACUGGGCGUUAAGUUGCAGGGUAUAGACCCGAAACCCGGUGAUCUAGCCAUGGGCAGGUUGAAGGUUGGGUAACACUAACUGGAGGACCGAACCGACUAAUGUUGAAAAAUUAGCGGAUGACCUGUGGCUGGGGGUGAAAGGCCAAUCAAACCGGGAGAUAGCUGGUUCUCCCCGAAAGCUAUUUAGGUAGCGCCUCGUGAAUUCAUCUCCGGGGGUAGAGCACUGUUUCGGCUAGGGGGUCAUCCCGACUUACCAACCCGAUGCAAACUGCGAAUACCGGAGAAUGUUAUCACGGGAGACACACGGCGGGUGCUAACGUCCGUCGUGAAGAGGGAAACAACCCAGACCGCCAGCUAAGGUCCCAAAGUCAUGGUUAAGUGGGAAACGAUGUGGGAAGGCCCAGACAGCCAGGAUGUUGGCUUAGAAGCAGCCAUCAUUUAAAGAAAGCGUAAUAGCUCACUGGUCGAGUCGGCCUGCGCGGAAGAUGUAACGGGGCUAAACCAUGCACCGAAGCUGCGGCAGCGACACUGUGUGUUGUUGGGUAGGGGAGCGUUCUGUAAGCCUGUGAAGGUGGCCUGUGAGGGUUGCUGGAGGUAUCAGAAGUGCGAAUGCUGACAUAAGUAACGAUAAAGCGGGUGAAAAGCCCGCUCGCCGGAAGACCAAGGGUUCCUGUCCAACGUUAAUCGGGGCAGGGUGAGUCGACCCCUAAGGCGAGGCCGAAAGGCGUAGUCGAUGGGAAACGGGUUAAUAUUCCCGUACUUGGUGUUACUGCGAAGGGGGGACGGAGAAGGCUAUGUUGGCCGGGCGACGGUUGUCCCGGUUUAAGCGUGUAGGUGUGUGUUCCAGGUAAAUCCGGUUCACUUUAACACUGAGGCGUGACGACGAGGCACUACGGUGCUGAAGCAACAAAUGCCCUGCUUCCAGGAAAAGCCUCUAAGCAUCAGGUAACAUCAAAUCGUACCCCAAACCGACACAGGUGGUCAGGUAGAGAAUACCAAGGCGCUUGAGAGAACUCGGGUGAAGGAACUAGGCAAAAUGGUGCCGUAACUUCGGGAGAAGGCACGCUGACACGUAGGUGAAGUGAUUUACUCACGGAGCUGAAGUCAGUCGAAGAUACCAGCUGGCUGCAACUGUUUAUUAAAAACACAGCACUGUGCAAACACGAAAGUGGACGUAUACGGUGUGACGCCUGCCCGGUGCCGGAAGGUUAAUUGAUGGGGUCAGCGCAAGCGAAGCUCCUGAUCGAAGCCCCGGUAAACGGCGGCCGUAACUAUAACGGUCCUAAGGUAGCGAAAUUCCUUGUCGGGUAAGUUCCGACCUGCACGAAUGGCGUAAUGAUGGCCAGGCUGUCUCCACCCGAGACUCAGUGAAAUUGAACUCGCUGUGAAGAUGCAGUGUACCCGCGGCAAGACGGAAAGACCCCGUGAACCUUUACUAUAGCUUGACACUGAACAUUGAGCCUUGAUGUGUAGGAUAGGUGGGAGGCUUUGAAGCGUGGACGCCAGUCUGCGUGGAGCCGACCUUGAAAUACCACCCUUUAAUGUUUGAUGUUCUAACGUGGACCCGUGAUCCGGGUUGCGGACAGUGUCUGGUGGGUAGUUUGACUGGGGCGGUCUCCUCCUAAAGAGUAACGGAGGAGCACGAAGGUUGGCUAAUCCUGGUCGGACAUCAGGAGGUUAGUGCAAUGGCAUAAGCCAGCUUGACUGCGAGCGUGACGGCGCGAGCAGGUGCGAAAGCAGGUCAUAGUGAUCCGGUGGUUCUGAAUGGAAGGGCCAUCGCUCAACGGAUAAAAGGUACUCCGGGGAUAACAGGCUGAUACCGCCCAAGAGUUCAUAUCGACGGCGGUGUUUGGCACCUCGAUGUCGGCUCAUCACAUCCUGGGGCUGAAGUAGGUCCCAAGGGUAUGGCUGUUCGCCAUUUAAAGUGGUACGCGAGCUGGGUUUAGAACGUCGUGAGACAGUUCGGUCCCUAUCUGCCGUGGGCGCUGGAGAACUGAGGGGGGCUGCUCCUAGUACGAGAGGACCGGAGUGGACGCAUCACUGGUGUUCGGGUUGUCAUGCCAAUGGCACUGCCCGGUAGCUAAAUGCGGAAGAGAUAAGUGCUGAAAGCAUCUAAGCACGAAACUUGCCCCGAG
rnacentral:rRNA from 1 species